GUGCCAGCCGCCGCGGUAAUACGUAGGUGGCAAGCGUUGUCCGGAUUUAUUGGGCGUAAAGGAUGUGUAGGCGGAUAUUUAAGUGAGAUGUGAAAUCCCAGGGCUUAACUUGGGGGCUUCAUUUCAAACUGGGUGUCUAGAGUGCAGAAGAGGAAAGCAGAAUUCCAAGUGUAGCGGUGAAAUGCGUAGAGAUUUGGAAGAAUACCAGUGGCGAAGGCGAAUUUCUGGACUGUAACUGACGCUGAGGCAUGAAAGCAUGGGGAGCAAACAGGAUUAGAUACCCUGGUAGUCCACGCCGUAAACGAUGAAUGCUAAGUGUAAGAGG
rnacentral:rRNA from 1 species